ACGUAGGUGGCGAGCGUUGUCCGGAAUUACUGGGCGUAAAGGAUGCGUAGGCGGAUAUUUAAGUCAGAUGUGAAACCCCCAGGCUUAACUUGGGGACUGCAUUUGAAACUGGAUAUCUAGAGUGCAGGAGAGGUAAGUGGAAUUCCUAGUGUAGCGGUGAAAUGCGUAGAGAUUAGGAAGAACACCAGUGGCGAAGGCGGCUUACUGGACUGUAACUGACGCUGAGGCAUGAAAGCGUGGGUAGCAAACAG
rnacentral:rRNA from 1 species